rnacentral:rRNA from 1 species
UCGAGGAUCUUCGGCAAUGGGCGCAAGCCUGACCGAGCGACGCCGCGUGCGCGAUGAAGGCCUUCGGGUUGUAAAGCGCUGUCGAGGGGGAGGAAAGCCGCAAGGCCUGACCGACCCCUGGAGGAAGCACGGGCUAAGUUCGUGCCAGCAGCCGCGGUAAGACGAACCGUGCGAACGUUGUUCGGAAUCACUGGGCUUAAAGGGCGCGUAGGCGGCCCGCCAAGUCAGGGGUGAAAUCUUCCGGCCCAACCGGAAAAGUGCCCCCGAUACUGGCGGGCUCGAGGGAGGUAGGGGCGGGCGGAACUUCCGGUGGAGCGGUGAAAUGCGUUGAUAUCGGAAGGAACGCCGGUGGCGAAAGCGGCCCGCUGGACCUCUUCUGACGCUGAGGCGCGAAAGCCAGGGGAGCGAACGG